CGCCUCUUGACUUAUAAUAAGAGGUCCAGCCUGCCCAGUGAAUUUUAAACGGCCGCGGUAUCCUAACCGCGCGAAGGUAGCAUAAUCACUUGUUCUUUAAAUGGGGACUCGUAUCAACGGCAUCACGAGGGUUUUACUGUCUCCUCUUUUUGAUCAGUGAAAUUGAUCUUCCCGUGAAGAAGCGGGAAUAAAUUUAUAAGACGAGAAGACCCCAUGGAGCUUUAAACCAAGUAACAACUUAACCACUUAUCCCAUAAUAAAUUUAAACCCUGUUAUAAGGUUUUUGGUUGGGGUGACCGCGGAGUAAAGCACAUCCUCCACGACGGAAAGAACAAAAUCUUUAUUUAAGAACCACACUUCUAGAAAUUAGUAUACUAACGUUUACUGACCCGACAAUCGAUCAACGGACCAAGUUACCCUGGGGAUAACAGCGCAAUCUACUUCAAGAGCCCAUAUCGACAAGUAGGCUUACGACCUCGAUGUUGGAUCAGGGUAUCCCGGUGGUGCAGCCGCUACCGAAGGUUCGUUUGUUCAACGAUUAAAACCCU
rnacentral:rRNA from 1 species